CGAACGGGUGCGUAACACGUGAGCGACCUGCCCGCUUGUGGGGGAGUAGCCGGCCCCAACGGCCGGGUAAUACCGCAUACGUUCUUCUGGGGGCAUUCCCGGGAGAAGAAAACUCAGGUGCAGGCGGAGGGGCUCGCGGCCUAUCAGCUGGUUGGCGGGGUAACGGCCCACCAAGGCAUCGACGGGUAGCUGGUCUGAGAGGAUGGCCAGCCACAUUGGGACUGAGAGACGGCCCAG
rnacentral:rRNA from 1 species